GAUGAAGAACGUAGCGAAAUGCGAUAAGUAAUGUGAAUUGCAGAAUUCAGUGAAUCAUCGAAUCUUUGAACGCACAUUGCGCCCGCUAGUAUUCUGGCGGGCAUGCCUGUCCGAGCGUCAUUUCAACCCUCAAGCCCCCGGGCUUGGUGUUGGGGAUCGGCGAGCCUCCGCGCCCGCCGUCCCCUAAAUCUAGUGGCGGUCUCGCUGUAGCUUCCUCUGCGUAGUAGCACACCUCGCACUGGGAAACAGCGCGGCCACGCCGUUAAACCCCCAACUUCUGAACGUUUGACCUCGGAUCGGGUAGGAAUACCCGCUGAACUUAAGCAUAUCAAUAAGCGGAGGA
rnacentral:misc_RNA from 1 species